AAUAAGUGCAGCCAUAAGUUUCCACGUCCAACUUUGAUCAUCCGUCUUAUUUGAAAUUUUUUUAUAAUUAGCAUUUUUGUUUUUAUAAGAUGAUAAAACAUGAAUAAUACUUUACUCAUGACUUAUGUUUUUAAUUUUUUUUAAAAAAAUUAAAUAAGACGAAUGAUCAAAGUUAGACGCGAAAAACCAUGGCCGCACUUAUU
rnacentral:pre_miRNA from 1 species